rnacentral:tRNA from 1 species
UGGCUCAGAAGGUAAAGAAUCUGCCUGCAAUGCAGGAGACCCAGGUUCAAUCCCUGG